rnacentral:rRNA from 1 species
CCUACGGGUGACUGCAGUGAGGAAUAUUGGUCAAUGGACGAGAGUCUGAACCAGCCAAGUAGCGUGAAGGAUGACUGCUCUAUGGGUUGUAAACUUCUUUUAUAUGGGAAUAAAACAGGGUAUGCAUACCCUCUUGUAUGUACCAUAUGAAUAAGGAUCGGCUAACUCCGUGCCAGCAGCCGCGGUAAUACGGAGGAGCCGAGCGUUAUCCGGAUUUAUUGGGUUUAAAGGGAGCGUAGGUGGAUUGUGAAGUCAGAUGUGAAAGUCGGGGGCUGAACCGUAAAAUUGCAGUUGAAACUGGCAGUCUAGAGUACAGUAGAGGUGAGCGGAAUUCGUGGUGUAGCGGUGAAAUGCUUAGAUAUCACGAAGAACUCCGAUUGCGAAGGCAGCUUACUGGACUGCAACUGACACUGAUGCUCGAAAGUGUGGGUAUCAAACAGGAUUAGAUACCCCUGUAGUC